rnacentral:lncRNA from 1 species
AUGAGACCAUGACACCAAAUUUCGACCACCUGGGAAAACAAUUGUCUCAAUUUUCUAGGUAUUGCUUCACGAAAUAGUCUUGUGAGUUGCGACGGAUGCAGAAACCACCUCGCAAUCCGGUGGGCGCACUACUGGUUUUCGACAGCUGCCGGACGAUAAUUUAGGCUGCAAUUUGCACACCUUGCUAUUAUCUUGCUCGCCCCGAUGUAGUUGCGACCGCGACUCGGCUCAACUACGUUCCAAACUGAAUUGAGUUGCAGGAUUCUCAAGCAAAAGAUAGAAAAAUUCACAAGUGGAGGCAGAAAAGCAAACGCCUCAGCCCUCGUGUUUUUUUGGCUGCAACUUGAUGACCUGAGGGCCAUGCCAUUAUCAGUCGGCAGCGCCUAUUUUAACUUCAGAAAACUGCCAGUUGCGCCGACUCGGCCCUCUUCAGAAUCUGCCCGUGAUGAUGGCCUGAUUUCGCCGCCCAUGAUUCUUCGCAACGAUUGGAUCUUCCCAGCAUGGUUGCUGAUAAAAUUAGUUGCCUAGGUCGCCAAUAAUUUGUUUGGCUACUCUUCUCACCUGUUCCGUUAGCUGGAGAAUUCUCCCCAUCACAUCGUUGUAGAGGAAUUAUAGAAUCCUCGACCCUCUAGAUGCAAAGUUCUUUUCAGCAAAACAAAAGGUUGCUCACAAGCUUAUCCAUUUCUGGCACAGAACGACAGAACCUUCAAGAUCGAUAAGGCUAACCAGUGCCACUGUUAGUUGUGUCCUCAGAGCACUGUUACUUGUCCAUGCAUGUACAGAGAAGGGGAUGACUCGACAAGUUUGGUUAAGGGUUGUCGCCUCUAGAAGAGAUUUUGGAUUUUGUUGUGAAGUUGCAGAGAUGGAAGCGCUUCCGGUCGAUCUUCUUCUCCUUCGAUUUAAAGCCUGCAUAAACAGAGCACAGAGCACACUGCACUUUUGAAGAAACUGUUGCUUCACAGUCUGAAAUUGGUUGGAUACAACAGCAUUUCCAAUUCACACCAAGACCUCAGAAAGAGAGAGGAAGCGUAGAUGAAACCAAAAUCGCCUCUCACUCUGAUGAAACCAAAUUCACGCCAACAGCAUUUCCAAUUCACGCCAAGACUCGCAAAAGAAGGGCUCAUGGGCCUUACCAAAAUCACCUCUUUCUGCUGAAACCAAUGCAGUCAAUAACAGGAACUCACAGUCCUUCAUAGUUGAGGCAUCACCUUGGACAGGGGCAGCACUUGACACCUGACAGGGCCCAAUGAGCAAUGUGCAUGACUUGGGAUGCUAUAAGUAGCAAUGCCACGUCAUGUGUAUACGCAUCAAA